rnacentral:tRNA from 1 species
GUGUCUGUAGCCUAGUUGGUUAAAUGUAGCACUCUAGCAUUUGUCUCAUUCAUACUGAGGUUGUGAGUUCAAAUCUCACCAGACACA